rnacentral:rRNA from 1 species
GACAGAGGGUGCAAACGUUGCUCGGAAUUACUGGGCGUAAAGCGCGUGUAGGCGGUCACGCAAGUCAGGUGUGAAAGCCCAGGGCUCAACCCUGGAAGUGCAUAUGAUACUACGUGGCUGGAGUACUGAAGAGGAGAGCGGAAUUCCCGGUGUAGAGGUGAAAUUCGUAGAUAUCGGGAGGAACACCAGUGGCGAAGGCGGCUCUCUGGGCAGAUACUGACGCUGAGACGCGAAAGCGUGGGUAGCAAACAGG